UACGUAGGCAGCAAGCGUUGUUCGGAGUUACUGGGCGUAAAGGGUGCGUAGGCGGCCUUAUAAGUAUGGUGUGAAAUCUCCCGGCUCAACUGGGAGGGUGCGCCGAAUACUGAGAGGCUAGAGUGUGGGAGAGGAAAGUGGAAUUCCUGGUGUAGCGGUGAAAUGCGUAGAUAUCAGGAGGAACACCGGUGGUGUAAACGGCUUUCUGGACCAUAACUGACGCUGAGGCACGAAAGCGUGGGUAGCAAACAGG
rnacentral:rRNA from 1 species